UACGUAGGGUGCAAGCGUUAAUCGGAAUUACUGGGCGUAAAGCGUGCGCAGGCGGUUGUGCAAGACCGAUGUGAAAUCCCCGGGCUUAACCUGGGAAUGGCAUUGGUGACUGCACGGCUAGAGUGUGUCAGAGGGGGGUAGAAUUCCACGUGUAGCGGUGAAAUGCGUAGAGAUGUGGAGGAAUACCGAUGGCGAAGGCAGCCCCCUGGGAUAACACUGACGCUCAUGC
rnacentral:rRNA from 1 species